GGUCUCGUGGUCUAGUGGUAUGAUUCUCGCUUAGGGAGCACUCUGAGUACACAUCAUGCGAGAGGGUACGUUUAUUCCUUAACCCCCAGUUACAUCCCGUAAGCUAACGACAUUAGUCCCGGGUUCGAGUCCCGGCGAGACCC